AGCUGGGAUGUUAAAAACUUUGAUGCUCAAUAUCUCAGAACUACCCUAAACGGAGAUAGAACCUUACAAUUCUAAGCUCACGCAUUCGUCAACAAAACUUUUCAGCU